CCUGGGACUCGGUAGGAUGGGCCCGGGUCAGCUGGUCCUGGAUCUCCCUGACCUGCCACGCACAGCCACCAGCAUGUGGAGACAGGCAGCUGGGCAAGCAUGAAGUGAGACAGCAAUCAACACAGUCCAGUAAGAGGCAGCCGCAGCAAGGAGGCCUGGGACAGAGACCGAAUGUGAGGGACUGGAACCUGCUAGCCCUCAGGACUCUGCCGUGGUGAACAGGAGCCUCCUAACUGUGAAGGAGGCCAACUGGUCAUGAUGUGAGACCAGAAAAGGCCGGGGGACAAGGGAGCUGCGGCUAGUGGCCAGCCCGUGCCCUGGGAGACCCCUGCCACUUCAGGCUGCGGUUUUUGUGUGCCUGGGUUUGGAUGGCUGGAGCAGUCCUGGAGAGCAGUUUGGUUUAGGUUUUCCUGGCGAAGUUAACUGUGGCUGCAUCCAGGGUCUGCAAGCUUAGACCCAAUGAGAACCUCACCUGAACGCAGACAGUGACCACGGAACUGCGCUCCCACAGAGGACAACCGCGUGAACGUUCUGGGAUGCAGGUGGGGCUCCAGCAUGGGAUCCUCUAGAGCGUGCCCAGGGUGGCCAUGGUGAGUGCCGUGAGCCCCCCUGUCCUCCACAGCCCUGCCCACCACUGGGACCUGGUACACCUCCUUCUCGGGAGAUAUCUACCUUCGGAAAGACCCAAGACAGGUGGGUCUCAGGGGGUGGCGCUUGGGGCAUCAUAAGAGGGCCAGGGGAGUGUUAGGGUGAGGGACCAUGCCUGUGCACACGUGGGCAGGAUGGGGGCACCGACCUCACAUUCUACCCCAGGGCAUCCCCUUCCCCACCCAGUCCUUGAGUCCCUGAGGGGCACCCUCAACUCCCCCGUCUGCCCGCUGAAUACUGCCAGAUUCUCCUCCCUGUGGGCUCUUGUGGGUGUCCAGGGACAGCAGGGAGUGACAUCUCAGCCCUUCCCAGGGACAGCCUAGAUCUGGAGGGGCCUGCUGACCCUGGGGUCACCUCCUUCUCAAACAGCCCUCAGCUCCCUGCUCCAAGUCUUUGGUUCCUCCUCCUCUGUCUCCCUCAGACCCUGUGCCCCGUGUGGGGGGCCGCCUUCACACCCAGGCCUCAGGGCUACCCCCCAGAGCCAGCCCCUGCCCCAGACACAGUGCUGAGUCCUGCCCUGCGGCUGCACUGGUGAUCACCACGGUGCACAGACCCCACUGACUGGGAGGCUCGGUCAGCGCGGCUUGGGCUAGAGGCUUCCCCUCAUACUGUCUUGAGCAGCUGGGCCGCAUCAGCACAGUCCUGUCACCCCAUAGCCAGUGAGACCCCUGGAGAAGACCAUCAUGGGGUGACUCGGCCGCAGACUCUGAGAAAGGCUGCAUGGCCUCACCUCAGCUGGGCUGGAGUACACAGCCCUGUGGGCAGAGGCCUCACCCAAAAAUGGGCUCAGGGCUGCAAGAGGCCCAUGGGGACAGUGUCGGGGAGGCUGGGUAGAGGGGCCCCAUCAGAUGCCUGGGGUGGGCGGAUAGGUCCCUGAGAUCCUGAGAGCCAUCUCAUAAAGUUGGUGGCAGGCACAGCAGGAAAAGAGAUCCGAAGGUGGUAGCAGAAGAUGAGGUGCUGCACGGCAUGAUGCAGAGGAGCUUGUGGAGAGGACAGGUGCAUCUGCUUUAUGGCUGAAGAACCCUCCAUCAGCAGCCUCUGGGGCAGGGAAGGGGCCAAACCCUCCACAGAAGCACAGCUUCCACAGGAGCAACGCCCCUCAGCACCCGUGGGGACGCAGCAGGUCUCCUCUGUUGACAUUUACAGGGGUCACUCCAGCCUACAUCCUGCAGGACUGCUCAUUGGGCCAUGGUGCCUCUGGUGCCUGAGCCCCAGCCCUGUCUCUUAUUUACAAGGCCCAGGCUCCUAGCAUUUGCCCCGUCAUCGUUUGACUGCUUAGUAGUUUCCUGCACACGGUCCUGUCUCAUGCGAGGGGCCCUGAAUUUCAGCACUCCAACUAUUCAAGGAAGUUUUGGAGGAAAAACACCCCAAGAAAGAGGAAAGGGAAAAGCCAGAGGCACAGGAGGGAUCACAAAAAUGAUCCGUGUCAAAAGCACAGGAGGAGACAGAAGUGAGAAGCAGGUCACCGGUACUGCUCACCCUGCCUCUUCAUGGCACCCGGCCCUGCUCAGGUGUGCAUCCACACAGGGCUACGAACGUGUGUGGCUGCUGUUCACAGGUGUAUUUACAGGUGUCUGUCUCUGAUGUGUGCAGCAUCGAACCCGUCCUUGUUCCUGGAGCCUUUGAUACGAGGAGGCCUCUAGCAUGCGUGCUUGGGCUUUGUGCCUCCUGCUUCUAAGAUGAUCUAACCCUUCUUGGCACCCAUGCAGACACCCAGGUUGUGUCCCACAGCAUGCCAGCUCUCCAACACACCCCCGUCUUGGUCCCCGGCUGAGGAGUCCCAUGCUGGGGUCGAGUCUCUGUGCUGCUGAACUCUUGGC